rnacentral:tRNA from 2 species
UGAAAUAGCUCAGUCGGUAGAGCAACGCACUCGUAAUGCGUAGGUCGAAGGUUCGAUUCCUUUUUUCAGC